ensembl:lncRNA
UGACUAGACUGAAACAUUAAAAUCACUCCUUUCUAAUACUCUGCUGUAUGUUCAAACCUGAGGCCUGAAAUAGAAAUGUACAAGUAUCUGAUUGAAGGAACUUCUGCAGAGUCCUGGUUCUAGAACAUGAUGAUAGAAUUAUAGACAAACUUUAACAAAAGCUGCCUGAGAGUUUACAGGUUUUUAUGUUAGAUUUCUUCUGUAAUUUAAUGAGUUAUCAGCAAUAAUCAAGUGUUUAUUUGAUGAACUUCAUUUCCUAAAACAUCCAGAAUUGGAGCUCAUAUCUUUGGCAGCUGUAAAGUUUCUGCUCCUUCAAAGUUCACAACACAAUGAAUGAAUUCCUAAAACACUCUUAAUGCUGGAGAGCGUUUGUGAUGCUGAAGCAGUGAUCAGUUUUUCUGUUUCUUCUCUGGAGAUGCACAAUGAGGGACGUCUGCAGAGACUGAGAAAGAGUCUCACCACAUCCUGACAUGAGGAAAAAAGACUUUAUUGAAGACUACAAUGAGAAAAACUAUCAGACAGCAGACGGCUGCAUUCAAGUCUGUAGCUGCUGAAUUCAUGGAUGAAUCAUCUGGCACUGGAGAAGAAGACCAUCAAACAUCCACGUCAGCUGAUGGAGGUCCAAGAGUCUCACCAAACAAACAACCUACAGAGUGAAGACCUCGAAUCUGAUUGGACGGCCUCCUAUUCAGCCACAUGCUGUUAGAUUGUUCCAGAUAAGACAAGUAAAAGAUACUUCAGAGCUGUUCUACCAUGAGCCUGACAGGAAGAACUCCAACAGCUACUGAAUGUUCCUGUGGUCCCCUCAAGGCUACAGGAGGAGCCCUACGAGGACGAGCCGGUCCACCUGAUGGCAGCCAGUCGCUGUGGUUCAAAGCCAACACCGACUACGUGGACUUCUACUGGACCACACGGAGGCCUUCAAACCAGACCAACAAGUUCAGCGACUCCCCGACUCGUGGGUCUGAGGACGCCACCGAGCCUCGACCCAGCCGGCCUCCUGUCUGUGGAUGUUUGAGUGCUGAGAGGUUUGUGGAUGCAUGUGAAUGUGUCUGUGUUGAAACAGCAGCUUUGGACUCAGUAACGCCGGGAAAAACCAAGAGCUCCUUUAUUUGUGACUUCCACUAAAAAACUGAUGAAAAUAAGUUUGCCAGGGUUCUGACUGAUAAUAGAUUAUUAAAUAAUGAAAAUAACAGUUUAAAUAUUCCUUUAAACAAUCCUUUUAGGUCUACAUUUCCUUUACACUGACUUCUUGGAAUAUGUACAAGUAUUUUGAGUGGACUAUACCAUUAAGCCCAACGUUCAAGGGUUCUUCUGGGAAUAUACCAUUAAACCAACCUUUUAGGUAAAUGUUCCAGGAUGUUGGGUAGAAUAUACCAUCAGAUAAACCUUUUAGGUCUACAUUGGAA